rnacentral:rRNA from 1 species
CCUACGGGUGGCAGCAGUGAGGAAUAUUGGUCAAUGGACGAGAGUCUGAACCAGCCAAGUAGCGUGAAGGAUGACUGCCCUAUGGGUUGUAAACUUCUUUUAUAUGGGAAUAAAAUGUUCCACGUGUGGGAUUUUGUAUGUACCAUAUGAAUAAGGCUCGGCUAACUCCGUGCCAGCAGCCGCGGUAAUACGGAGGAUCCGAGCGUUAUCCGGAUUUAUUGGGUUUAAAGGGAGCGUAGGUGGAUUGUUAAGUCAGUUGUGAAAGUUUGCGGCUCAACCGUAAAAUUGCAGUUGAAACUGGCAGUCUGGAGUACGGGAGAGGUAUGCGGAAUUCGUGGUGUAGCGGUGAAAUGCUUAGAUAUCACGAAGAACUCCGAUUGCGAAGGCAGCUCACUGGACUGCCACUGACGCUGAGGCUCGAAAGUGUGGGUAUCAAACAGGAUUAGAUACCCUUGUAGUC